rnacentral:rRNA from 1 species
GACGAACGCUGGCGGCGUGCUUAACACAUGCAAGUCGAACGAUGAAGCUGGGGCUUGCUCCGGUGGAUUAGUGGCGAACGGGUGAGUAACACGUGAGCAAUCUGCCCUUGACUCUAGGAUAACUGCGGGAAACUGUAGCUAAUACCGGAUACGAGAUUUGGAGGCAUCUCCGGAUCUGGAAAGAAUUUCGGUCAAGGAUGAGCUCGCGGCCUAUCAGCUUGUUGGUGAGGUAAUGGCUCACCAAGGCGACGACGGGUAGCCGGCCUGAGAGGGUGACCGGCCACACUGGGACUGAGACACGGCCCAGACUCCUACGGGAGGCAGCAGUGGGGAAUAUUGCACAAUGGGCGAAAGCCUGAUGCAGCAACGCCGCGCGAGGGAUGAAGGCCUUCGGGUUGUAAACCUCUUUUAGUAGGGAAGAAGCGAAAGUGACGAUACCUACAGAAAAAGCACCGGCUAACUACGUGCCAGCCGCCGCAGUAA